UACGAAGGGGGCUAGCGUUGUUCGGAAUUACUGGGCGUAAAGCGCGCGCAGGCGGUCUUCCAAGUCAGUGGUGAAAGCCCGGAGCUCAACCCCGGAACUGCCAUUGAAACUGUGAGACUUGAGUACGAGAGAGGUGAGUGGAAUUCCCAGUGUAGAGGUGAAAUUCGUAGAUAUUGGGAAGAACACCGGUGGCGAAGGCGGCUCACUGGCUCGUAACUGACGCUCAGGCGCGACAGCGUGGGGAUCAAACAGG
rnacentral:rRNA from 1 species